rnacentral:rRNA from 1 species
CCAGACUCCUACGGGAGGCAGCAGUGGGGAAUAUUGCACAAUGGGGGAAACCCUGGUGCAGCAACGCCGCGUGAGUGAGGAAGUAUUUCGGUAUGUAAAGCUCUAUCAGCAGGGAAUAGAAAAGAAGGUACCUGAAAAAGAAGCCCCGGCUAACUACGUGCCAGCAGCCGCGGUAAUACGUAGGGGGCAAGCGUUAUCCGGAUUUACUGGGUGUAAAGGGAGCGUAGACGGCAGUGCAAGUCUGAAGUGAAAGGCAGGGGCUCAACCCUUGGACUGCUUUGGAAACUGUGCUGCUGGAGUGUCGGAGAGGAAAGUGGAAUUCGUGGUGUAGCGGUGAAAUGCGUAGAUAUUAGGAGGAACACCAGUGGCGAAGGCGGCUUGCUGGACAGAGACUGACGUUGCGGCUCGAAAGCGUGGGGAGCAAACAGGAUUAGAUACCCGGGUA